AUGCAAGUCGAACGAAGCACCUUUUAAGAUUCUUCGGAUGAUUGAUUGGUGACUGAGUGGCGGACGGGUGAGUAACGCGUGGGUAACCUGCCCUGUACAGGGGGAUAACAGCUGGAAACGGCUGCUAAUACCGCAUAAGCGCACGAGGAGACAUCUCCUUGUGUGAAAAACUCCGGUGGUACAGGAUGGGCCCGCGUCUGAUUAGCUGGUUGGCAGGGUAACGGCCUACCAAGGCAACGAUCAGUAGCCGGUCUGAGAGGAUGAACGGCCACAUUGGAACUGAGACACGGUCCAAACUCCUACGGGAGGCAGCAGUGGGGAAUAUUGCACAAUGGGGGAAACCCUGAUGCAGCAACGCCGCGUGAGUGAAGAAGUAUUUCGGUAUGUAAAGCUCUAUCAGCAGGGAAGAUAAUGACGGUACCUGACUAAGAAGCUCCGGCUAAAUACGUGCCAGCAGCCGCGGUAAUACGUAUGGAGCAAGCGUUAUCCGGAUUUACUGGGUGUAAAGGGUGCGUAGGUGGCAGUGCAAGUCAGAUGUGAAAGGCCGGGGCUCAACCCCGGAGCUGCAUUUGAAACUGCAUAGCUAGAGUACAGGAGAGGCAGGCGGAAUUCCUAGUGUAGCGGUGAAAUGCGUAGAUAUUAGGAGGAACACCAGUGGCGAG
rnacentral:rRNA from 1 species